rnacentral:rRNA from 1 species
UACGCAGGUGGCAAGCGUUGUCCGGGAUUACUGGGUGUAAAGGGCGUGUAGGCGGGAUAGCAAGUCAGAUGUGAAAUUCCGGGGCUCAACCCCGGCGCUGCAUCUGAAACUGUUAUUCUUGAGUGUCGGAGAGGGAAGUGGAAUUCCCAGUGUAGCGGUGAAAUGCGUAGAGAUUGGGAGGAACACCAGUGGCGAAGGCGGCUUUCUGGACGAUAACUGACGCUGAGGCGCGAAAGCGUGGGGAGCAAACAGG